UCCCAUGACGGUAUGGAAUCCUUAAGAUCUGAAUUCAUUUAACUUCGAUGAAAAUUACAAGCAUAAUUUCUGAGGAC